AUUGAACGCUGGCGGCAUGCUUUACACAUGCAAGUCGGACGGCAGCACAGAGAAGCUUGCUUCUUGGGUGGCGAGUGGCGAACGGGUGAGUAAUAUAUCGGAACGUACCGAGCAGUGGGGGAUAACUAAUCGAAAGAUUAGCUAAUACCGCAUAUUUUCUGAGGAAGAAAGCAGGGGACCAUUUGGCCUUGCGCUGUUUGAGCGGCCGAUAUCUGAUUAGCUAGUUGGUGGGGUAAAGGCCUACCAAGGCGACGAUCAGUAGCGGGUCUGAGAGGAUGAUCCGCCACACUGGGACUGAGACACGGCCCAGACUCCUACGGGAGGCAGCAGUGGGGAAUUUUGGACAAUGGGCGCAAGCCUGAUCCAGCCAUGCCGCGUGUCUGAAGAAGGCCUUCGGGUUGUAAAGGACUUUUGUCAGGGAAGAAAAGGACAGGGUUAAUACCCCUGUCUGAUGACGGACCUGAAGAAUAAGC
rnacentral:rRNA from 1 species